UGGGGAAUAUUGCACAAUGGGCGCAAGCCUGAUGCAGCAACGCCGCGUGAACGAUGAAGGUCUUCGGAUCGUAAAGUUCUGUUGCAGGGGAAGAUAAUGACGGUACCCUGUGAGGAAGCCCCGGCUAAAUACGUGCCAGCAGCCGCGGUAAUACGUAUGGACCGAGCGUUGUCCGGAAUCAUUGGGCGUAAAGGGUACGUAGGCGGCCCAGUAAGUUAGAAGUGAAAUAAUAUAGCUCAACUAUAUAAAGCUUUUAAAACUGCUAGGCUUGAGAGAUGGAAGGGAAAGUGGAAUUCCUAGUGUAGCGGUGAAAUGCGCAGAUAUUAGGAAGAAUACCGGUGGCGAAGGCGACUUUCUGGUCAUCAUCUGACGCUGAGGUACGAAAGCGUGGGUAGCAAACAGG
rnacentral:rRNA from 1 species